rnacentral:rRNA from 1 species
GAUGAACGCUAGCUACAGGCUUAACACAUGCAAGUCGAGGGGCAGCAUGAACUUAGCUUGCUAAGUUUGAUGGCGACCGGCGCACGGGUGAGUAACACGUAUCCAACCUUCCGUUUACUCAGGGAUAGCCUUUCGAAAGAAAGAUUAAUACCUGAUAGUAUGGUGAGAUUGCAUGAUAACACCAUUAAAGAUUUAUUGGUAAACGAUGGGGAUGCGUUCCAUUAGGUAGUAGGCGGGGUAACGGCCCACCUAGCCUGCGAUGGAUAGGGGUUCUGAGAGGAAGGUCCCCCACAUUGGAACUGAGGCACGGUCCAAAACUCCUACGGGAGGCAGCAGUGAGGAAUAUUGGUCAAAUGGACGAGAGUCUGAACCAGCCAAGUAGCGUGAAGGAGAAGGAUCUAUGGUUUGUAAACUUCUUUUAUAGGGGAAUAAAGUGGAGGACGUGUCCUUUUUGUAUGUACCCUAUGAAUAAGCAUCGGCUAACUCCGUG